rnacentral:misc_RNA from 1 species
GAUGAAGAACGUAGUGAAAUGCGAUAAGUAGUGUGAAUUGCAGAAUUCAGUGAAUCAUCGAAUCUUUGAACGCACAUUGCGCCCCUUGGUAUCCCGAGGGGCAUGCCUGUUCGAGCGUCAUUUCACCACUCAAGCCUGGCUUGGUGUUGGGCGACGUCCUCUUUGGGGACGCGCCUCGAAACGCUCGGCGGCGUGGCACCGGCUUUAAGCGUAGCAGAAUCUUUCGCUUUGGAAGUCGGGGCCCCGUCUGCCGGAAGACCUGCUCGCAAGGUUGACCUCGGAUCAGGCAGGGAUACCCGCUGAACUUAAGCAUAUCAAUAAGCGGAGG